UCAGGAACCCGGCGAGCAUCCGGGGCGGCCUGAGCCACUGUGACCGGGGAGUACUGCGCCACCGAGAUCGGCCGGUUCGCCGGCUGGUGUCAGGCCACGGCAGCGCCAUCGCCGGAAGGCCGGCGACGUGCGUCGAUCCGGGAGCCAGGACAUUG
rnacentral:ncRNA from 2 species